rnacentral:ncRNA from 1 species
ACUCGUGUGACUGGCGGAUUAGUGGAAGAAACCACAGGGAGCACGAAGGUAAGAACGUCGACCGCCUGGGCAGCCA